GCGCCAGCAGCCGCGGUAAUACCGGCAGCCCGAGUGAUGGCCGAUCUUAUUGGGCCUAAAGCGUCCGUAGCUGGCUGUGCAAGUCCGUCGGGAAAUCCACUCGCUCAACGAGUGGGCGUCCGACGGAAACUGCACAGCUUGGGACCGGAAGGCUCGAAGGGUACGUUCGGGGUAGGAGUGAAAUCCCAUAAUCCUGGACGGACCGCCGAUGGCGAAAGCACGUCGCGAGGACGGAUCCGACAGUGAGGGACGAAAGCCAGGGUCUCGAACCGGAUUAGAUACCCUGGUAGUCC
rnacentral:rRNA from 1 species